rnacentral:rRNA from 1 species
UACGGGGGGAGCAAGCGUUGUUCGGAUUUACUGGGCGUAAAGGGCGCGUAGGCGGGUUGGCAAGUCAGUCGUGAAAUCUCUCGGCUCAACCGAGAAACGUCGGCUGAUACUGCCGUUCUUGAGGGAUGCAGAGGAGACUGGAAUUCCCGGUGUAGCGGUGAAAUGUGUAGAGAUCGGGAGGAACACCGGUGGCGAAGGCGGGUCUCUGGGCAUUUCCUGACGCUGAGGCGCGAAAGCGUGGGGAGCAAACGGG